rnacentral:rRNA from 1 species
GACGAACGCUGGCGGCGUGCCUAAUACAUGCAAGUCGAACGCUUUUUCUUUCACCGGAGCUUGCUCCACCGAAAGAAAAAGAGUGGCGAACGGGUGAGUAACACGUGGGUAACCUGCCCAUCAGAAGGGGAUAACACUUGGAAACAGGUGCUAAUACCGUAUAACACUAUUUUCCGCAUGGAAGAAAGUUGAAAGGCGCUUUUGCGUCACUGAUGGAGCGACCCGCGGUGCAUUAGCUAGUUGGUGAGGUAACGGCUCACCAAGGCAACGAUGCAUAGCCGACCUGAGAGGGUGAUCGGCCACACUGGGACUGAGACACGGCCCAGACUCCUACGGGAGGCAGCAGUAGGGAAUCUUCGGCAAUGGACGAAAGUCUGACCGAGCAACGCCGCGUGAGUGAAGAAGGUUUUCGGAUCGUAAAACUCUGUUGUUAGAGAAGAACAAGGAUGAGAGUAGAACGUUCAUCCCUUGACGGUAUCUAACCAGAAAGCCACGGCUAACUACGUGCCAGCAGCCGCCGUAA